GGUUAAGCGACUAAGCGUACACGGUGGAUGCCCUGGCAGUCAGAGGCGAUGAAGGACGUGCUAAUCUGCGAUAAGCGUCGGUGAGGUGAUAUGAACCGUUAUAACCGGCGAUUUCCGAAUGGGGAAACCCAGUGUGUUUCGACACACUAUCAUUAACUGAAUCCAUAGGUUAAUGAGGCGAACCGGGGGAACUGAAACAUCUAAGUACCCCGAGGAAAAGAAAUCAACCGAGAUUCCCCCAGUAGCGGCGAGCGAACGGGGAGGAGCCCAGAGCCUGAAUCAGUGUGUGUGUUAGUGGAAGCGUCUGGAAAGGCGCGCGAUACAGGGUGACAGCCCCGUACACAAAAAUGCACAUAUUGUGAGCUCGAUGAGUAGGGCGGGACACGUGGUAUCCUGUCUGAAUAUGGGGGGACCAUCCUCCAAGGCUAAAUACUCCUGACUGACCGAUAGUGAACCAGUACCGUGAGGGAAAGGCGAAAAGAACCCCGGCGAGGGGAGUGAAAAAGAACCUGAAACCGUGUACGUACAAGCAGUGGGAGCCUCUUAAUGGGGUGACUGCGUACCUUUUGUAUAAUGGGUCAGCGACUUAUAUUCUGUAGCAAGGUUAACCGAAUAGGGGAGCCGAAGGGAAACCGAGUCUUAACUGGGCGUUAAGUUGCAGGGUAUAGACCCGAAACCCGGUGAUCUAGCCAUGGGCAGGUUGAAGGUUGGGUAACACUAACUGGAGGACCGAACCGACUAAUGUUGAAAAAUUAGCGGAUGACUUGUGGCUGGGGGUGAAAGGCCAAUCAAACCGGGAGAUAGCUGGUUCUCCCCGAAAGCUAUUUAGGUAGCGCCUCGUGAAUUCAUCUCCGGGGGUAGAGCACUGUUUCGGCAAGGGGGUCAUCCCGACUUACCAACCCGAUGCAAACUGCGAAUACCGGNNNNNNNNNNNNNNNNNNNNNNNNNNNNNNNNNNNNNNNNNNNNNNNNNNNNNNNNNNNNNNNNNNNNNNNNNNNNNNNNNNNNNNNNNNNNNNNNNNNNNNNNNNNNNNNNNNNNNNNNNNNNNNNNNNNNNNNNCCAGACAGCCAGGAUGUUGGCUUAGAAGCAGCCAUCAUUUAAAGAAAGCGUAAUAGCUCACUGGUCGAGUCGGCCUGCGCGGAAGAUGUAACGGGGCUAAACCAUGCACCGAAGCUGCGGCAGCGACACUAUGUGUUGUUGGGUAGGGGAGCGUUCUGUAAGCCUGUGAAGGUGGCCUGUGAGGGUUGCUGGAGGUAUCAGAAGUGCGAAUGCUGACAUAAGUAACGAUAAAGCGGGUGAAAAGCCCGCUCGCCGGAAGACCAAGGGUUCCUGUCCAACGUUAAUCGGGGCAGGGUGAGUCGACCCCUAAGGCGAGGCCGAAAGGCGUAGUCGAUGGGAAACAGGUUAAUAUUCCUGUACUUGGUGUUACUGCGAAGGGGGGACGGAGAAGGCUAUGUUGGCCGGGCGACGGUUGUCCCGGUUUAAGCGUGUAGGCUGGUUUUCCAGGCAAAUCCGGAAAAUCAAGGCUGAGGCGUGAUGACGAGGCACUACGGUGCUGAAGCGACAAAUGCCCUGCUUCCAGGAAAAGCCUCUAAGCAUCAGGUAACAUCAAAUCGUACCCCAAACCGACACAGGUGGUCAGGUAGAGAAUACCAAGGCGCUUGAGAGAACUCGGGUGAAGGAACUAGGCAAAAUGGUGCCGUAACUUCGGGAGAAGGCACGCUGAUAUGUAGGUGAAGCGACUUGCUCGUGGAGCUGAAAUCAGUCGAAGAUACCAGCUGGCUGCAACUGUUUAUUAAAAACACAGCACUGUGCAAACACGAAAGUGGACGUAUACGGUGUGACGCCUGCCCGGUGCCGGAAGGUUAAUUGAUGGGGUUAGCGGUAACGCGAAGCUCUUGAUCGAAGCCCCGGUAAACGGCGGCCGUAACUAUAACGGUCCUAAGGUAGCGAAAUUCCUUGUCGGGUAAGUUCCGACCUGCACGAAUGGCGUAAUGAUGGCCAGGCUGUCUCCACCCGAGACUCAGUGAAAUUGAACUCGCUGUGAAGAUGCAGUGUACCCGCGGCAAGACGGAAAGACCCCGUGAACCUUUACUAUAGCUUGACACUGAACACUGGUCCUUGAUGUGUAGGAUAGGUGGGAGGCUUUGAAGCGUGGACGCCAGUCUGCGUGGAGCCGANNNNNNNNNNGAAUGGCGUAAUGAUGGCCAGGCUGUCUCCACCCGAGACUCAGUGAAAUUGAACUCGCUGUGAAGAUGCAGUGUACCCGCGGCAAGACGGAAAGACCCCGUGAACCUUUACUAUAGCUUGACACUGAACAUUGAGCCUUGAUGUGUAGGAUAGGUGGGAGGCUUUGAAGUGUGGACGCCAGUCUGCAUGGAGCCGACCUUGAAAUACCACCCUUUAAUGUUUGAUGUUCUAACGUGGGCCCCUUACCGGGGUUGCGGACAGUGUCUGGUGGGUAGUUUGACUGGGGCGGUCUCCUCCUAAAGAGUAACGGAGGAGCACGAAGGUUGGCUAAUCCUGGUCGGACAUCAGGAGGUUAGUGCAAUGGCAUAAGCCAGCUUGACUGCGAGCGUGACGGCGCGAGCAGGUGCGAAAGCAGGUCAUAGUGAUCCGGUGGUUCUGAAUGGAAGGGCCAUCGCUCAACGGAUAAAAGGUACUCCGGGGAUAACAGGCUGAUACCGCCCAAGAGUUCAUAUCGACGGCGGUGUUUGGCACCUCGAUGUCGGCUCAUCACAUCCUGGGGCUGAAGUAGGUCCCAAGGGUAUGGCUGUUCGCCAUUUAAAGUGGUACGCGAGCUGGGUUUAGAACGUCGUGAGACAGUUCGGUCCCUAUCUGCCGUGGGCGCUGGAGAACUGAGGGGGGCUGCUCCUAGUACGAGAGGACCGGAGUGGACGCAUCACUGGUGUUCGGGUUGUCAUGCCAAUGGCACUGCCCGGUAGCUAAAUGCGGAAGAGAUAAGUGCUGAAAGCAUCUAAGCACGAAACUUGCCCCGAGAUGAGUUCUCCCUGACUCCUUGAGAGUCCUGAAGGAACGUUGAAGACGACGACGUUGAUAGGCCGGGUGUGUAAGCGCAGCGAUGCGUUGAGCUAACCGGUACUAAUGAACCGUGAGGCUUAACCUU
rnacentral:rRNA from 1 species